UACGGAGGGUGCAAGCGUUAUCCGGAUUCACUGGGUUUAAAGGGUGCGUAGGUGGAGUGGUAAGUCAGUGGUGAAAUCUCCAAGCUUAACUUGGAAACUGCCGUUGAUACUAUCAUUCUUGAAUAUCGUGGAGGUAAGCGGAAUAUGUCAUGUAGCGGUGAAAUGCUUAGAUAUGACAUAGAACACCGAUUGCGAAGGCAGCUUGCUACACGAUCAUUGACACUGAGGCUCGAAAGCGUGGGGAUCAAACAGG
rnacentral:rRNA from 1 species